GUACUGAUGACGAGUCUCAAAAUAGGACGAAACAGCUGUCUAGUAC
rnacentral:hammerhead_ribozyme from 1 species